rnacentral:rRNA from 1 species
CCUACGGGCGGCAGCAGUGAGGAAUAUUGGUCAAUGGACGGAAGUCUGAACCAGCCAUGCCGCGUGCAGGAAGACGGCUCUAUGAGUUGUAAACUGCUUUUGUACAAGGGUAAACCUGAAUACGUGUAUUCUGCUGAAAGUACUGUACGAAUAAGGAUCGGCUAACUCCGUGCCAGCAGCCGCGGUAAUACGGAGGAUCCAAGCGGUAUCCGGAUUUAUUGGGUUUAACGGGUGCGUAGGCGGAUUGAUAAGUUAGAGGUGAAAUGGCCGAGCUUAACUCGGGAACUGCCUCUAAUACUGGUGAUCUAGAGAGUAGAUGCGGUAGGCGGAAUGUAUGGUGUAGCGGUGAAAUGCUUAGAGAUCAUACAGAACACCGAUGGCGAAGGCAGCUUACCAAUCUAUAUCUGACGUUGAGGCACGAAAGCGUGGGGAGCAAACAGGAUUAGAUACCCUGGUAGUC